rnacentral:rRNA from 1 species
GACGAACGCUGGCGGCGUGCUUAACACAUGCAAGUCGAACGCUGAAGCACCAGCUUGCUGGUGUGGAUGAGUGGCGAACGGGUGAGUAAUACGUGAGUAACCUGCCCUUGACUCUGGGAUAAGCCCGGGAAACUUGGUCUAAUACUUGAUGCUACAUGUCACCGCAUGGUGGUGUGUGGAAAGGGUUUACUGGUCUUGGAUGGGCUCACGGCCUAUCAGCUUGUUGGUGAGGUAAUGGCUCACCACGGCGACGACGGGUAGCCGGCCUAAGAGGGUGACCGGCCACACUGGGACUGAGACACGGACCAGACUCCUACGGGAGGCAGCAGUGGGGAAUAUUGCACAAUGGGCGAAAGCCUGAUGCAGCGACGCCGCGGGAGGGAUGACGGCCUUCGGGUUGUAAACCUCUUUCAGCAGGGAAGAAGCCACAAGUGACGGUACCUGCAGAAGAAGCGCCGGCUAACUACGUG